rnacentral:lncRNA from 1 species
AGCAGCUGAAUUUAGCCAAGGAUGCAAACAAAAGUCCACUAUCUAAGCGGAUGUUUUUGGGCUGAGCAGAAGGCACGUCUGUACAGACAAGCAAGCUGCAAUUACCCUACAAAAACUGUCUUUCCUGCUGGACUGGAGCUUCACAAGACCAGGGACCAUGUCAUCCUGUUUAUCAUUCUAUCCUAGCACCUGGGACUGUGCCUUGUCCAGGAAUAAACCUGCAAGGAAGGUGUUGCAGAUUUUUAUCCCUAUGUUGGAAAUGAGGAUUCGGAAGCUCAGAGAACGUAAGCAACAUGCCCAGUGUCACGGAGCAAGGUCAAAACCAGACUUUGGACCAAGAUCUAUCUGGCCUUGGAAGCAUCUCCCCUUUGGCCUGGUCUUUGCUCUGUAUGUCUUGUUGACC